AACACAAGCACACUGCGCGUGCGUCGUGCGUGCUUGUGCACACACACGUAUAUGUUUAUUGCAUAAAAUUCAUCAUUGUACUUUCCUCUAUAUUUUGUAUAAUCCAGAAGGAUUCCAGAAAGGAUUUCAUUGUGCUCAGUUUCAAAAAAAUCCUAAAUGAACAUCAGAUUACAGAUACAUGUUCAUAUAUUGAACUGAAUGGUACAUCCCAACCGCCUGGCUAUGGAAACCCGUGACUUGACUUAGGAGUCCUGAUGACAUGAUCCCGACAGGAACCCCCUAGACUGGCAGGUGGAGGCAGCAGUGAUGCGGUUCCUCCUGAGGAGGACUCUCGGUGGCUGUGUGGCCUGGGCGCACAGCUGGAGGGCUCACCCAUGAGGGACACGAGUGGACACCUGCUGCUUCGCAUGCCUAAUUAACAGUAGAAACAUGUAAAGCCAUGCAAGUCUGUGCAGUAAAGAGAUCCUGUAAGAAAUCCAGUCGUUCCUUGGAGGGAAGCUGGCCCC